rnacentral:rRNA from 1 species
GACGAACGCUGGCGGCGUGCUUAACACAUGCAAGUCGAACGGAAAGGCCCUGCUUGCAGGGUACUCGAGUGGCGAACGGGUGAGUAACACGUGGGUUAUCUGCCCUGCACUUCGGGAUAAGCCUGGGAAACUGGGUCUAAUACCGGAUAGGAGCCAUCUUUAGUGUGAUGGUUGGAAAGUUUUUUCGGUGUAGGAUGAGCUCGCGGCCUAUCAGCUUGUUGGUGGGGUAAUGGCCUACCAAGGCGGCGACGGGUAGCCGGCCUGAGAGGGUGGACAGCCACAUUGGGACUGAGAUACGGCCCAGACGCCUACGGGAGGCAGCAGUGGGGAAUAUUGCACAAUGGGCGCAAGCCUGAUGCAGCGACGCCGCGUGGGGGAUGACGGCCUUCGGGUUGUAAACUCCUUUCGCUAGGGACGAAGCUUUUUGUGACGGUACCUAGAUAAGAAGCACCGGCUAACUACGUG